UACGAAGGGUGCAAGCGUUACUCGGAAUUACUGGGCGUAAAGCGUGCGUAGGUGGUUCGUUAAGUCUGAUGUGAAAGCCCUGGGCUCAACCUGGGAAUGGCAUUGGAAACUGGCGACCUAGAGUGCGGUAGAGGGUAGUGGGAAUUCCCGGUGUAACAGUGAAAUGCGUAGAGAGUCGGGAGGAACAUCUGUGGCGAAGGCGGCAUCCUGGACCGGUAUUGACGCUGAGGCGCGAAAGCCAGGGGAGCAAAUGGG
rnacentral:rRNA from 1 species